GAACUUGGAGUUUGAUAGGAAUUUUUUGUUUACAACAAAAGGGUUAGGAGUUCU
rnacentral:tRNA from 1 species